rnacentral:rRNA from 1 species
UACGUAGGGGGCAAGCGUUAUCCGGAUUUACUGGGUGUAAAGGGAGCGUAGACGGAUAGGCAAGUCUGAUGUGAAAAUCCGGGGCCCAACCCCGGAAUUGCAUUGGAAACUGCAUAUCUAGAGUGUCGGAGAGGCAAGUGGAAUUCCUGGUGUAGCGGUGAAAUGCGUAGAUAUCAGGAGGAACACCAGUGGCGAAGGCGGCUUGCUGGACGAUGACUGACGUUGAGGCUCGAAAGCGUGGGGAGCAAACAGG